rnacentral:rRNA from 1 species
UACGUAGGGUGCGAGCGUUAAUCGGAAUUACUGGGCGUAAAGCGUGCGCAGGCGGUUUGUUAAGACAGGUGUGAAAUCCCCGGGCUUAACCUGGGAACUGCAUUUGUGACUGCAUGGCUAGAGUGCGGCAGAGGGGGAUGGAAUUCCGCGUGUAGCAGUGAAAUGCGUAGAUAUGCGGAGGAACACCGAUGGCGAAGGCAAUCCCCUGGGCCUGCACUGACGCUCAUGCACGAAAGCGUGGGGAGCAAACAGG